rnacentral:rRNA from 1 species
UAGAGUUUGAUCCUGGCUCAGAUUGAACGCUGGCGGCAUGCCUAACACAUGCAAGUCGCACGCGAAAGGGGGCAACCCCGAGUAGAGUGGCGGACGGGUGAGUAACGCGUAGGAAUCUACCUCGUAGUGGGGACAACCCGGCGAAAGCCGGGCUAAUACCGCAUACGAUCCACGGAUGAAAGCAGGGGACCGCAAGGCCUUGCGCUAUGAGAUGAGCCUGCGUCGGAUUAGCUAGUUGGUGAGGUAACGGCUCACCAAGGCGACGAUCCGUAGCUGGUUUGAGAGAACGACCAGCCACACCGGAACUGAGACACGGUCCGGACUCCUACGGGAGGCAGCAGUGGGGAAUAUUGGACAAUGGGGGCAACCCUGAUCCAGCAAUGCCGCGUGUGUGAAGAAGGCCUUCGGGUUGUAAAGCACUUUCGGUGGGGACAAACAAGGCGGAGCUAACAUCUCCGUCCCUGAUGGUACCCAAAGAAGAAGCACCGGCUAACUCUGUGCCAGCAGCCGCGGUAAUACAGAGGGUGCAAGCGUUAAUCGGAAUUACUGGGCGUAAAGCGUG